UGUAGUGUGGUAUAGUGGUUUGAACAUUGGAUUAAGACUCUGGAGAUGAGGGUUCAAAUCCCUGCUCAGCUC